UCCUACGGGAGGCAGCAGUGGGGAAUAUUGGACAAUGGGCGCAAGCCUGAUCCAGCCAUGCCGCGUGAGUGAUGAAGGUUUUAGGAUUGUAAAGCUCUUUCACCGGUGAAGAUAAUGACGGUAACCGGAGAUGAAGCCCCGGCUAAAUUUGUGCCAGCAGCCGCGGUAAUACGAAGGGGGCUAGCGUUGUUCGGAUUUAAUGGGCGUAAAGCGCACGUAGUCGGACUUUUAAGUCAGGGAAGAAAUCCCGGGGCUCAACCCAGGAACUACAAAUGAUACUGGAAGUCUUGAAUUCGAGAGAGGAGAGAGGAAAUGAGAGUGUAGGGGUGGAAUU
rnacentral:rRNA from 1 species